rnacentral:tRNA from 1 species
GGAGAGAUUGGUGAGUGGCUUAAACCAACAGUUUACUAAACUGUCGAACCUUUACGGGUUCCGCGAGUUCGAAUCUCGCUCUCUCCG